rnacentral:lncRNA from 1 species
UUUUUUUGAUAUAGCUGGUGUAGCGAGGCCCAACAUUAAGGAACAUCUUUUAUUCUUAACUAUGGGCUUUUGUGACAAGAGCCCACCUACGGUGGUCCUUCAGAAGAAAGAUAGUAAAAAAAAAAACAGAAAGAAAGAAGUAGAGCGCUGAAGACAAAAAAAAAAAAAAAAAAAAGAAGAAGUAGAAGCGUUGACUUGUAUGAAUCAUCAUGUG